UACGUAGGGUGCGAGCGUUGUCCGGAAUUACUGGGCGUAAAGAGCUCGUAGGUGGUUUGUCGCGUUGUCCGUGAAAACUCACAGCUUAACUGUGGGCGUGCGGGCGAUACGGGCAGACUGGAGUACUGCAGGGGAGACUGGAAUUCCUGGUGUAGCGGUGGAAUGCGUAGAUAUCAGGAGGAACACCAAUGGCGAAGGCAGAUCUCUGGGCCGUAACUGACGCUGAGGAGCGAAAGCAUGGGGAGCGAACAGG
rnacentral:rRNA from 1 species